AAAUUGGAUUUCAGCUCGGUACAAAAACGACUUGGUUAAUUCUAAGAUUAUUACCUAAGGAUUUUAAAUUAGAAAUUGAAUGGUGAAAGUUAACAACUUAAAGGACCUAAAGAAGCAUUUUGCCAAGCCAUUUGUGUCAUUUACAUAUGAAUAUUUGUUCUUCAAAUAUUCAUUUCCAGAAAACAUAAAGAGAAGAAGAACUCCAUCUUCUCUAAAUUUCUUAAAACUUCUAUUCAUCACCAAAGCUUCAUUUCUUGUCCGUUUUGAGCGAUUUUCGCGGUGUUGGAACGAGGGAAGGAUUUCCUACUGAUCUAAGGCUUCAAUUCAAGAUUCUACGAACCAUAUGACUGAUGAUUUGAAGGAAGUGGGUGAUUAAACGACGUGCCGUUCAUUUUAUUUGCUUGUUAUUAUAUUUGGAUUAAGCGAUCGAGUGUUUUCUUUCAGGAUUAAUAUACGACGAUGUGGUUGAGCUUCCAUUCGUUGUUUCGGAAGUCUCAGUUAUGGGAGGUCUUAUUCUUCUUAGAGCUGCAGUAGUCAUGAUAGUAGACCUAGCUAGUAGCAUACGAUUUAUGUUUAUAUUAUGCCCUGCUAAAAUGAUGUAUUUUGGAAAAAUGAAUUAUCCAGGGAUUUAAUAUAUGGUUAAUUGGUAUUUUAUACAGAGUGGUUUGUGUGUU